CUGUCUAUUAUUAAUAUAUUUAAAUUGCUGAAGAGAGUGAAAAUACUUCUAUAACAAUAAAAAGACGAGAAGACCCUAGAAAUUUUAUAUAAAGUGUAUUAUUUUUACUAUUAUUUUGUUGGGGCAACAGAAUAACAAUUUAACCUAUUUUAGUUUUACACGAAUUUUUUAUAAGGGUAGACAAAAUUACUCUAGGGAUAACAGCAUAAUUAUUUAAUAGUUUGUGACCUCGAUGUUGGACUAAGGAAGGCUUUAUUCAGAAGAUUAAACCACAUGUUCUGUUCGAACAACGUAUCCUUACAUGAUCUGAGUUCG
rnacentral:rRNA from 1 species